UGAGGAAUAUUGGUCAAUGGACGCAAGUCUGAACCAGCCAAGUAGCGUGCAGGAUGACGGCCCUAUGGGUUGUAAACUGCUUUUAUAUGGGAAUAAAGUGAGGGACGUGUCCCUUAUUGCAUGUACCAUACGAAUAAGGACCGGCUAAUUCCGUGCCAGCAGCCGCGGUAAUACGGAAGGUCCAGGCGUUAUCCGGAUUUAUUGGGUUUAAAGGGAGCGUAGGCUGUUUGUUAAGCGUGUUGUGAAAUGUAGGAGCUCAACUUCUAGAUUGCAGCGCGAACUGUCAGACUUGAGUGCGCACAACGUAGGCGGAAUUCAUGGUGUAGCGGUGAAAUGCUUAGAUAUCAUGAAGAACUCCGAUUGCGAAGGCAGCUUACGGGAGCGCAACUGACGCUGAAGCUCGAAGGUGCGGGUAUCGAACAGG
rnacentral:rRNA from 1 species